CAGUCGCCACGGGAAUACAGAGGGUGCAAGCGUUAAUCGGAAUUACUGGGCGUAAAGCGCGCGUAGGUGGUUCGCCAAGUUGGAUGUGAAAUCCUUGGGCUCAACCUGGGAACUGCAUCCAAAACUGGCGAGCUAGAGUAUGGUAGAGGGUGGUGGAAUUUCCUGUGUAGCGGUGAAAUGCGUAGAUAUAGGAAGGAACAUCAGUGGCGAAGGCGACCACCUGGACUGAUACUGACACUGAGGUGCGAAAGCGUGGGGAGCAAACAGGAUUAGAUACCCCUGUAGUCCCUGUCUCUUAUAC
rnacentral:rRNA from 1 species